CGGGNGGNAGCCGUNGGGAAUUUUNCNCAAUGGGNGGAANUUUGAUNGAGCCANGCCCGUGNGGGAAGAAGGUUUUCGGGUUGUAAAGCUUUUUUNUAGGGGAAGAAAAAGUUCANUAUUAACUGGNUGUACCUUGACGGUACCUUACCAGAAAGCCCCGGCUAACUACGUGCCAGCAGCCGCGGUAAUACGUAGGGGGCAAGCGUUGUCCGGAAUUAUUGGGCGUAAAGCGCGCGCAGGCGGCCUUUUAAGUCUGAUGUGAAAGCCCCCGGCUUAACCGUGGAGGGUCAUUGGAAACUGGGGGGCUUGAGUGCAGAAGAGGAAAGUGGAAUUCCACGUGUAGCGGUGAAAUGCGUAGAGAUUUGGAGGAACACCAGUGGCGAAGGCGACUUUCUGGUCUGUAACUGACGCUGAGGCGCGAAAGCGUGGGGAGCAAACAGGAUUAGAUACCCUGGUAGUCCACGCCGUAAACGAUGAGUGCUAAGUGUUAGGGGGUUUCCGCCCCUUAGUGCUGCAGCUAACGUAAGCAC
rnacentral:rRNA from 1 species